UGGUGAAGUGAUUUGUCUGGUUAAUUCCGUUAACGAACGAGACCCCUGCCUGCUAAAUAGUUCCGCGAGUGAAUCUUCACUGGCUUGGCGCUUCUUAGAGGGACGUGCGUCUACUAGGCGCAGGAAGAUAGGGGCCAUAACAC
rnacentral:rRNA from 1 species